CCUACGGGGGGCAGCAGUGAGGAAUAUUGGUCAAUGGACGCAAGUCUGAACCAGCCACGUCGCGUGAAGGAAGACGGCCCUACGGGUUGUAAACUUCUUUUGUAAGGGAAUAAAGUGAGCCACGUGUGGUUUUUUGCAUGUACCUUACGAAUAAGGAUCGGCUAACUCCGUGCCAGCAGCCGCGGUAAUACGGAGGAUCCGAGCGUUAUCCGGAUUUAUUGGGUUUAAAGGGUGCGCAGGCGGGGGAUUAAGUCGGCGGUGAAAUUUUGCAGCUCAACUGUAAAAGUGCCUUCGAAACUGGUUUCCUUGAGUGUAGAUGAAGUAGGCGGAAUUUGUGGUGUAGCGGUGAAAUGCUUAGAGAUCACACAGAAUAUCGAUUGCGAAGGCAGCUCACAAAGCCAAGAUUGACGCUGAGGCACGAAAGUGUGGGGAUCAAACAGGAUUAGAUACCCUGGUAGUCCACACUGUAAACGAUGAUAACUCGCUGUCGGCGAUAUACAGUCGGUGGCCAAGCGAAAGCGAUAAGUUAUCCACCUGGGGAGUACGACCGCAAGGUUGAAACUCAAAGGAAUUGACGGGGGCCCGCACAAGCGGAGGAACAUGUGGUUUAAUUCGAUGAUACGCGAGGAACCUUACCCGGGCUCGAACGGUGCAGGAAUAUGGUAGAGAUAUCAUAGCUAGCAAUAGUCUGUAUCGAGGUGCUGCAUGGUUGUCGUCAGCUCGUGCCGUGAGGUGUCGGCUUAAGUGCCAUAACGAGCGCAACCCUUGUCAUUAGUUACCAUCAGGUCAAGCUGGGGACUCUAAUGAGACUGCCACCGUAAGGUGAGAGGAAGGGGGGGAUGACGUCAAAUCAGCACGGCCC
rnacentral:rRNA from 1 species